AUGUUUCAGAAAGAUCACUCUGACUGCUACAUGGAAAAUGUGCUGGGGAGAAACAAGACUGCAGGAAAUAAGAGCAGUGAACAAGCUCUUGCUGUAAUUCAAGUCAGGUGUAGAAGCUGGAGCUGGAGCAGCCAUUCUGAACUAUGUCGGUAAGGGCGGUACUCCCAUGGUGGCUUGGAAGUGAGCUGGAGGGCACCAAGGUGCAUGAUGAUAUCAUGGGGUUCCCAUAGAUACCCAGGAUCACGAACAUCAGAUUUCAUUUUCAUGAGACAGAAAUAAAUUCCUGCUUGGUUCAAGAUACAUAUCAUAAAAGGAAAAAAAAAAAAAAGAAGUCCUGACGAAGAUGCCAUUUAUUUUCUAGAAAAUCUACCUGGAAAUAAAAAGUUGACUCACCGAUUCACACCAUUUCCAUUUGUCUUGGUCUGGCUUUGGUGUCGGGGCAUUUCCAGUCUCAUAAAAUGACUUUGCGUAACACAUGGAAACUAAUGGUGUUCUACAAUUGCUGAAGCAAGUGUAACACUAAAGGUUGCAUUAUUUUUUGGGAAGAUUGGAUGUGCCCUCCCAAAUACCCCUUAGAAAUUGCUGGUGUGAAAUUUUCAUGUGAACAAUUUCUGAAUAAAAUUUAUUAUGAAUUCUCAGUUAGAC
rnacentral:lncRNA from 10 species